GAAAGCCCCGGUAAUUCCUUCCAGCAGCCGCGGUUAUACGAGGGGGCAGCGGUUAUUGGAAUUUCUGGGUUAACCGCUCACUGGCGGUCUUCAUGUCUGAUGUGAAUCCCCGGCUCAACCUGGGACCUCGUUCGCAAGUGGCAGGGUAGCGUCUGUAGAGGGGGGUAUACUUCCAGGUGUAGCGGUGAAAUGCGUAGAUAUCGAACGAAUAUCGCGGGCGAAGUCUCUCCCCUGGACAAAGACUGACGGUCAGUUUGAAAAGCGUGCGGAGCAAACAGGAUUCGAUACUCUGGUAGUCCACGCCGUAAAAGAUGUCGAUUUUGAAGUUGUGCCCUUGAGGCGUGGCUUCCGGAGCUAACGCGUUAAAUCGCCCGCCUGGGGAGUACGCCCGCAAGGUUAAAACUCAAAUGAAUUGACGGGGGCCCGCACAAGCGGUGGAGCAUGUGGUUUAAUUGGAUGCAACGCGAAGAACCUUACCUGGUCUUGACAUCCACAGAACUUGGCAGAGAUGGUUUGGUGCCUUCGGGAACUGUGAGACAGGUGGUGCAUGGCUGUCGUCAGCUCGUGUUGUGAAAUGUUGGGUUAAGUCCCGCAACGAGCGCAACCCUUAUCCUUUGUUGCCAGCGGUUAGGCCGGGAACUCAAAGGAGACUGCCAGUGAUAAACUGGAGGAAGGUGGGGAUGACGUCAAGUCAUCAUGGCCCUUACGACCAGGGCUACACACGUGCUACAAUGGCAUAUACAAAGAGAAGCGACCUCGCGAGAGCAAGCGGACCUCAUAAAGUAUGUCGUAGUCCGGAUUGGAGUCUGCAACUCGACUCCAUGAAGUCGGAAUCGCUAGUAAUCGUAGAUCAGAAUGCUACGGUGAAUACGUUCCCGGGCCUUGUACACACCGCCCGUCACACCAUGGGAGUGGGUUGCAAAAGAAGUAGGUAGCUUAACCUUCGGGAGGGCGCUCACCCUCUUGGUUUCCCC
rnacentral:rRNA from 1 species